GGGGAGGUGGCUCAGUGGUGGAGUGCUUGCCUCACAUGCAUGAAGCCCUGGGUUCGAUUCCUCAGCAUCACAU
rfam:Dipodomys ordii contig_39030, whole genome shotgun sequence.